AGUGAACGCUGGCGGUAGGCCUAACACAUGCAAGUCGAACGGCAGCACAGUAAGAGCUUGCUCUUACGGGUGGCGAGUGGCGGACGGGUGAGGAAUACAUCGGAAUCUACUUUUUCGUGGGGGAUAACGUAGGGAAACUUACGCUAAUACCGCAUACGACCUACGGGUGAAAGCAGGGGAUCUUCGGCCCUGCGCGAUUGAAUGAGCCGAUGUCGGAUUAGAUAGUUGGCGGGGUAAAGGCCCACCAAGGCGACGAGCCGUAGCUGGUCUGAGAGAAGGAACGGCGACGGUGGGACUGAGACACGGUCCAGACUCCUACGGGAGGCAGCAGUGGGGAAUAUUGGACAAUGGGCGCAAGCCUGAUCCAGCCAUACCGCGUGGGCUGAGAAGGCCUUCGGGUUGUAAAGCCGUUUUGUUGGGAAAGAAAAGCAGCAGGUUAAUACCCCGCUGUUCUGACGGUACCCAAAGAAUAAGCACCGGCUAACUUCGUG
rnacentral:rRNA from 1 species